rnacentral:lncRNA from 1 species
UUCUAUCCAACUUUCCAUUUUUCUCAUUCAAGUUUCAAUAUUCAUUCCUGUACAUAAAAUCCAUGUCUUUACAUUGCAUAUUACAAAGAGUAAAAUCAAAAGAAGCAAUUACAAAUUAACAUGUAACCUAGAAUAUUUUAACUCCUAAUCUCCUAAUUCAUGGCCUAUUUCUUCAAGUCCAAGUAAUUCUUGAAACAUCCAUAUUUCAACCAAGUCAUGGCCAAGGCUCCUUCAAGCUAUUACAUUCCAAACAACAUGGCACAAAAUGAAGCUCCAUGGGCCUACAAAAUAAGUCCACCACAAUCACCAAUUGACCAUUCAAACCAAGAAAAGAGAGAAUUUCUACACAAGUUAACAUCAUGCAUAAAUUUGACAGAAAAAUGGAUUUCAACACUAGUCAACAUCAUGUAUAACAUUUGACAGUAAAAGCAUAUUAGUACAAGCCUUUUUGUUACUGCUAAACACCCUGCACAAUUUGACAGAAAGAGAAUUUCAAUACAAACCAUUUUUUAAUGCUAAGCAUUAUGUAGAAGAAGUUAGGAAAAACAAUAAGCUCAAAAUCGAUUUGCAUUUCACUUUUAAUUCACACUUAAAUUCAUUCUUAUAUUCAGCUCAGAUGCACUUACAGUUCCAAAUUCAUUUUGAUGCUAACUAACACAUUAACAACAUUCAUAUUCACAGAUUUUACACUAACUGAUUUAUGCAUUUCUAACUAACUGAGAAAAUUUCAUCUGCAUUUGGAAGGAAUUUCGGUGGCAUUUCUAACAGAAAGUUAAGAAAUGGAAAUUUAUAAAUAUCAAGCAACACUUUUCUUCAUUCAAUGAACGUUUCUCUCACCUCAUAAAUCACUCUCAGAUUUUUCCUCUCACUCUCGAAUACUCUCUCUACACUCACCAGUACUCAACAGAAAUAUCAGGAAGAAGAGGAUUAAGGAAAGAACACAAGGUAGUGGAAGAUCAAAGAAAGAGCAUAACAAAGCAUUACUUGUGAUGUCACUAGAGAGCCACCGCAUCAUGAUUUCUGGUGAGUAUUCCUCCACUUCUUGUUUUAAAGAUCUUGAACAAAUCCACACAAUUUCUCGAGUUUGCGAAUCGAUUGAACCAACUUGAUUUUAGAGGGUUGGUCAGACGCGAGUUUGGAUUUGCGUUUGAAGCUUUGGUGCCUGUUUGAGCGUUCAGAAGCAGUAGUGAAGACGACGAGGGAUGCAUAUAUGUUCAUGGCGUGAACGUUUCUAUAUUCAUUAUGAUGCCUGAACUCCGAUGGAACUUCGGAGAUCGAAAUGCUUGGAAUCGAUCACAGGAGGUCAAGCUUCAGCGGCGCGCAUUCAAACGAGUUUGACUUGGAUGAACGUGGAUAUGAGAAUGGACCUGAUUCACCUGGAUUUUGAUCCAGUUCA